AGAUCCCAUCCAGCUGUGCUCAAAGAUGAAAGGGAAACUUCAGUACUGACAGGCCCUUGAAUUAUACCCAAGCACGAAUAGUUUCAAAAGAAAAGAUGACAGCUGAGGGCAUAUAAAUCACACCAGUCUUGCAAGGCAACUGGACACAACCACAUGAUUGUCUGCUGCCUGGUCAAGAGCAACCUUGACCUGUAUGGAAAUAGCUAAAUAGACUGUGUGCCAGAGUAGGAAGAUCAAAGCACAAUUUAAGAAAAUGGGACUUCCCUAUACUAGAUAACUCUGUGUGGAAGUGGUGAAUAAGAGUCCAUAUCAUAUAUGCUACAGUGCAUAUGAUGUCCUUCAACAUGUGUGGAGAAAGAACUCAUGCUGGUGACAGAAAAUGCUGUCAACAUGACCUGAUGUCAUUUAAUUUUAAUUCUGUCUAUUCUACAUACUUUUUACAUGUGCUAUAUUUCAAUGACCUAUUUUAUACCUAUUUUA